GACGAACGCUGGCGGCGUGCUUAACACAUGCAAGUCGAACGGAAAGGCCCUGCUUUUGUGGGGUACUCGAGUGGCGAACGGGUGAGUAACACGUGAGUAACCUGCCCUUGACUUUGGGAUAACUUCAGGAAACUGGGGCUAAUACCGGAUAGGAGCUCCUGCUGCAUGGUGGGGGUUGGAAAGUUUCGGCGGUUGGGGAUGGACUCGCGGCUUAUCAGCUUGUUGGUGGGGUAGUGGCUUACCAAGGCUUUGACGGGUAGCCGGCCUGAGAGGGUGACCGGCCACAUGGGGACUGAGAUACGGCCCAGACUCCUACGGGAGGCAGCAGUGGGGAAUAUUGCACAAUGGGCGGAAGCCUAAUGCAGCAACGCCGCGUGCGGGAUGACGGCCUUCGGGUUGUAAACCGCUUUCGCCUGUGACGAAGCGUGAGUGACGGUAAUGGGUAAAGAAGCACCGGCUAACUACGU
rnacentral:rRNA from 1 species